rnacentral:lncRNA from 1 species
GCAGUCAGAGGUUGAAGUGAUUCAGAAAAGUCUUAUCGUUUAAACUUCUGAUGCUCAUAGUUCGGCCAAUAUUUAUGCCCACAUUUAAUUUGAUCAUUGGUCUUAAGGCCUUUUCAGCAUGAUGAUAAAAAUGACAUUUAGAAGUUCAUCAAAAGAAGGGGCUAGGCAUGGAAGUAUUUACAGCAUCAUUAUGCUUCGGAUGCUUUAGCGUAAAUUUGCUGCCUUAAUCUGAAGAUGCUUCUAUGAAGAUUUUGGCACUCCUUUGAUACAUUUGUGGCUGACUAGUUAAAGAGCUAUAAUCGCUUGAAGUGCAUUAAAGCAACCAUCAGAGUUUUGGUGCAGAGAUUGUUCUAAAUGCUUUCUCACAUGUGUAUCAUACUUAGGCGUCAGUGCUGGUGUGAGAGUCGUUAGUUGUUCUCAAGGUAAUAUUCCCUCACUCCUUAUGUUCAUAUAUUAUUAUUCUCAAGAUAUAAAUUGAAGCUUCUCCUUGCAUCAAAUGAUUAAAGCCUUGUAGAAUGGAUUUAUGAUGGCAUUUUUUCUCUAUUGAUCAGGAAUAUAAAAGAAAAACAAGAAAAAAUUGAAAUUAUUUUUGCUGUAAGUUAAAGUUAUUUAUUCAUAAGUUAAUUCAUAGAUUUUCUCUCAUGUAUCUUCUCUUCCUUUUUAUUUUAAUUUAUGUAUAAGCUAAUUUUAUUUUUCUCCUAGAAGUGUUUAUGAAGAAACUCCACCACACAUACCCUGAAUGAAGAGCUUCAGAUUUCAUGAAAAUAUAUCCUUUCUUGGGGACUACUACCUAGAUACAUACGAUUUCUAGGGGUAGUACAUUACUUUGGAUGCUAUCACAUAAUUGUAUGUAUUAUAAAUCACUACAUGAACUGCUAAAUGACUUUAGACAAGAUGGUUUACCAUUAAAUUUAUAACCAAUUAUAGCCCAUUUUUUAGAGGGAAAGACAAUGUUUUAUUAAUCAAUAUGUUUUAUUAAUAUGCAAAAAGUUAGUUUGUUGUGCGAAA